rnacentral:other from 1 species
UUUCCCCUGCCGUGUUCGUGAUUGGAAGACGUUCUUUGACCCAACACUUAUUAAAUGGGAGCUUUCACUUGUUUUGGUGUGCCGUUCUGCUAUCGCAGAAAAGCCUAAAGAAACAACAGGGCGCCCACCUUUAGAAUAAGGUUCAAAGACCUACCAACACGACACCGAGGUGGGGGUUCA